UAAGUUAUUUGUAAUUAGGUAGUAAAGGUAACUCUGAAACCUAAAGAACUUGGCGGUGUUUUAAAUAAUUGGAGGAACCUGUUAUUUAAUUGAAAGUCCACAACAUAUCUUACCUUAUUUUUGUUUGUAUAUCGUUGUUUAGACAGUAUUUUUUAGUAUAGUCAAUAAUAAUACAUUUUAAAAAAUCAAAUCAAGGUGCAGCAUAAUAAGGUUAUGAUGGGUUACAUUACAAGUUAUGUAAACGGAAAGUAAACUGAAAGUAAAUUGGAAGGUGGAUUCAAAAGUAAUAUAAAAAUAAAAAGUUUUUAUGAAUAAAUUUUUAAAACAUGC
rnacentral:rRNA from 1 species